UUGAAUAAAUCUGACGUGGUUGUCGCUGGCUCUCCGGAGUAUGUGCACGCCCGUCACCUUUAUCUCGCUCCCUGUGCACACACUGUAGGCUUGGAUACCUCUCGCCGGAUAGGCGGAUGCAGAGAUUGCCGGUCCAUCACUGGUCGGCUUUCUUUGAAUUUCCAAGUCUACGAUUUUACAUACCCCAAACGAAUGUUAUAGAAUGUAAUUUGUAUGGCCUUGUGCCUAUAAAUCAAUA
rnacentral:misc_RNA from 1 species